CCUACGGGUGGCAGCAGUGAGGAAUAUUGGUCAAUGGUCGGGAGACUGAACCAGCCAAGCCGCGUGAGGGAUGAAGGUACAGAGUAUCGUAAACCUCUUUUGUCAGGGAGCAACGUCACCCACGUGUGGGUGUUGGAGAGUACCUGAAGAAAAAGCAUCGGCUAACUCCGUGCCAGCAGCCGCGGUAAUACGGAGGAUGCGAGCGUUAUCCGGAUUUAUUGGGUUUAAAGGGUGCGUAGGCGGGUUAUCAAGUCAGCGGUAAAAUCGGGGAGCUCAACUCCAUCCAGCCGUUGAAACUGAUGAUCUUGAGUGGGCGAGAAGUAUGCGGAAUGCGUGGUGUAGCGGUGAAAUGCAUAGAUAUCACGCAGAACUCCGAUUGCGAAGGCAGCAUACCGGCGCCCGACUGACGCUGAAGCACGAAAGCGUGGGUAUCGAACAGGAUUAGAUACCCGUGUAGUC
rnacentral:rRNA from 1 species